rnacentral:rRNA from 1 species
GAUGAACGCUAGCGGCAGGCUUAAUACAUGCAAGUUGAGGGGCAGCAUGAUAUACGCGAGUAUAUUGAUGGCGACCGGCGGACGGGUGAGUAAUAGGUAGGAGACCUACCUCAUACAGGGGGAUAGCAUAGAGAAAUCUGUGGUAAUACCCCAUGAGGUUAUAUGAAUAGAGGCAUAUAAUCAAAGCAUAAGCGAUUAUGCGGUAUGAGAGGGGCCUACUGACCAUUAGCUAGUUGGUGAGGUAAGGGCUCACCAAGGCGAAGAUGGUUAGGGGUUUUGAGAGAGAGACCCCCCACAUUGGAACUGAGAGACGGUCCAGACUCCUACGGGAGGCAGCAGUAGGGAAUAUUGGGCAAUGGGCGAAAGCCUGACCCAGCCAUGCCGCGUGAAGGAAGACGGCCUUAUGGGUUGUAAACGUUCUUUACUACGCGAAUAGGAGGUUAGUACGAGAUACUAAUAGGAAGGUAGUGUAGUAAAAGCACCGGCUAACUCCGUG